rnacentral:rRNA from 1 species
UGGGGAAUCUUGCGCAAUGCGCGAAAGCGUGACGCAGCAACGCCGCGUGGGGGAAGAAGGCCUUCGGGUUGUAAACCCCUUUCAGGAGGGACGAAGCCUCGGCCGUUAAUAGCGGAUCGGGGUGACGGUACCUCCAGAAGAAGCCCCGGCUAACUACGUGCCAGCAGCCGCGGUAAUACGUAGGGGGCAAGCGUUUUCCGGAAUCAUUGGGCGUAAAGCGCGUGUAGGCGGUCCGGUAAGUCGGCUGUGAAAGUCCAGGGCUCAACCCUGGGAUGCCGGUCGAUACUGCCGGACUAGAGUUCGGAAGAGGCGAGUGGAAUUCCCGGUGUAGCGGUGAAAUGCGCAGAUAUCGGGAGGAACACCAAUGGCGAAGGCAGCUCGCUGGGACGUUACUGACGCUGAGACGCGAAAGCGUGGGGAGCAAACAGG